rnacentral:rRNA from 1 species
UCUACGGGUGGCAGCAGUGAGGAAUAUUGGUCAAUGGACGAAAGUCUGAACCAGCCAAGUAGCGUGAAGGAUGACUGCCCUAUGGGUUGUCAACUUCUUUUAUAUGGGAAUAAAAUGUUCCACGUGUGGGAUUUUGUAUGUACCUUAUGAAUAAGAAUCGGCUAACUCCGUGCCAGCAGCCGCGGUAAUAUGGAGGAUCCGAGCGUUAUCCGGAUUUAUUGGGUGGAAAGGGUGCGUAGGUGGAUUGUUAAGUCAGUUGUGAAAGUUUGGGGCUCAACCGUAAAAUUGCAGUUGAAACUGGCAGGCUUGAGUACAGUAGAGGCGGGCGGAAUUCGUGGUGUAGCGGUGAAAUGCUUAGAGAUGACGAAGAACUCCGAUUGCGAAGGCAGCCCACUGGACAACGACUGACACUGAGGCUCGAAAGUGUGGGGAUCAAACAGGAGUAGAUACCCUAGUAGUC